AUGACGUUGGAAGAUAUAAACUGUCAACAGCUCACUGCACUGAAGACUGAGGAGUUCACUUUAGAGGGCAGCUCAGUAACUGUGUCCUGCACUUUCAGCAAAGGUUCCACUAAUUAUUUAUACUGGUAUCGACAAUAUCCUGGAAAACCUCCAGAGUUCCUGAAGUCUCACACACCCUUUGGUGAAGCAGAACAGCUGGGCAGAAUGAAAUAUGAAGCAAGUGAAGACAAAAUGAGCAUGACCAUCUCCUCUGCUGCAGUGAAAGACUCUGCUGUGCACUACUGUGCUGUGAAGCCCACAGUGACAGGAAACACCAGAACUCUGUACAAGAACCUGCAAUACUCCACAACAUCCACUAGAGGAGGCUAG